GAUGAACGCUAGCGACAGGCUUAACACAUGCAAGUCGAGGGGCAGCACAGGUAGCAAUACCGGGUGGCGACCGGCGCACGGGUGAGUAACGCGUAUGCAACUUGCCUAUCAGAGGGGGAUAACCCGGCGAAAGUCGGACUAAUACCGCAUGAAGCAGGGGCCCCGCAUGGGGAUAUUUGCUAAAGAUUCAUCGCUGAUAGAUAGGCAUGCGUUCCAUUAGGCAGUUGGCGGGGUAACGGCCCACCAAACCGACGAUGGAUAGGGGUUCUGAGAGGAAGGUCCCCCACAUUGGUACUGAGACACGGACCAAACUCCUACGGGAGGCAGCAGUGAGGAAUAUUGGUCAAUGGCCGAGAGGCUGAACCAGCCAAGUCGCGUGAGGGAUGAAGGUUCUAUGGAUCGUAAACCUCUUUUAUAAGGGAAUAAAGUGCGGGACGUGUCCCGUUUUGUAUGUACCUUAUGAAUAAGGAUCGGCUAACUCCGUG
rnacentral:rRNA from 1 species